UGGGGAAUAUUGCACAAUGGGCGCAAGCCUGAUGCAGCCAUGCCGCGUGUGUGAAGAAGGCCUUCGGGUUGUAAAGCACUUUCAGCGAGGAGGAAGGUGGUGAACUUAAUACGUUCAUCAAUUGACGUUACUCGCAGAAGAAGCACCGGCUAACUCCGUGCCAGCAGCCGCGGUAAUACGGAGGGUGCAAGCGUCAAUCGGAAUUACUGGGCGUAAAGCGCACGCAGGCGGUUUGUUAAGUCAGAUGUGAAAUCCCCGGGCUCAACCUGGGAACUGCAUUUGAAACUGGCAAGCUAGAGUCUCGUAGAGGGGGGUAGAAUUCCAGGUGUAGCGGUGAAAUGCGUAGAGAUCUGGAGGAAUACCGGUGGCGAAGGCGGCCCCCUGGACGAAGACUGACGCUCAGGUGCGAAAGCGUGGGGAGCAAACAGGAUUAGAUACCCUGGUAGUCCACGCUGUAAACGAUGUCGAUUUGGAGGUUGUGCCCUUGAGGCGUGGCUUCCGGAGCUAACGCGUUAAAUCGACCGCCUGGGGAGUACGGCCGCAAGGUUAAAACUCAAAUG
rnacentral:rRNA from 1 species